rnacentral:rRNA from 1 species
UAGAAUUCCACGUGUAGCGGUGAAAUGCGUAGAGAUGUGGAGGAAUACCGGUGGCGAAGGCGGCCUUCUGGACAGAUACUGACGCUGAGAUGCGAAAGCGUGGGGAGCAAACAGGAUUAGAUACCCUGGUAAUCCACGCUGUAAACGAUGUCGAUUUGGAGUUUGUUGCCUAGAGUGAUGGGCUCCGAAGCUAACGCGAUAAAUCGACCGCCUGGGGAGUACGGCCGCAAGGUUAAAACUCAAAUGAAUUGACGGGGGCCCGCACAAGCGGUGGAGCAUGUGGUUUAAUUCGAUGCAACGCGAAGAACCUUACCUGGUCUUGACAUCCACAGAAUCUUGCAGAGAUGCGAGAGUGCCUUCGGGAACUGUGAGACAGGUGCUGCAUGGCUGUCGUCAGCUCGUGUUGUGAAAUGUUGGGUUAAGUCCCGCAACGAGCGCAACCCUUAUCCUUUGUUGCCAGCGAUUCGGUCGGGAACUCAAAGGAGACUGCCGUUGAUAAAGCGGAGGAAGGUGGGGACGACGUCAAGUCAUCAUGGCCCUUACGACCAGGGCUACACACGUGCUACAAUGGCGUAUACAAAGGGAGGCGACCUCGCGAGAGCAAGCGGACCUCAUAAAGUACGUCUAAGUCCGGAUUGGAGUCUGCAACUCGACUCCAUGAAGUCGGAAUCGCUAGUAAUCGUGAAUCAGAAUGU